CUUGAAGAGAGGCACAGAAAACAAACAUGGAAACAUGGUUAGAGUACAUUAGUACUUAAAAUAGUCUUAAAUAGUUUUGUGCUUGGUACAGCAAGUUGCAGGUCCUGCUCUAACUUUUUGCUACUAAGAAAC
rnacentral:lncRNA from 12 species